rnacentral:rRNA from 1 species
CCUACGGGAGGCAGCAGUGGGGGAUAUUGCACAAUGGGGGAAACCCUGAUGCAGCGACGCCGCGUGGGUGAAGAAGCGCCUCGGCGCGUAAAGCCCUGUCAGCAGGGAAGAAAAUGACGGAACCUGAAGAAGAAGCCCCGGCUAACUACGUGCCAGCAGCCGCGGUAAUACGUAGGGGGCAAGCGUUAUCCGGAUUUACUGGGUGUAAAGGGGGCGGAGACGGGGGUGCAAGCCAGGAGUGAAAGCCCGGGGCCCAACCCCGGGACUGCUCUUGGUACUGCGUGGCUAGAGUGCAGGAGGGGCAGGCGGAAUUCCUGGUGUAGCGGUGAAAUGCGUAGAUAUCAGGAGGAACACCGGUGGCGAAGGCGGCCUGCUGGACUGCAACUGACGUUGAGGCCCGAAAGCGUGGGGAGCAAACAGGAUUAGAUACCCUUGUAGUC